UUCUGCAGCCUUGAUCAAUGUUGUCUGUGGACAGGAUAUUCAGAGGCCAUGCAUCAGGAAGGAAUGUAGAAAUGUGUCUGUUUAAAUGGUUAAAUUCCUCAUGGAGCAACCUGAAGAAGACAGUUCAGUACAGCUCAGUGGUACAGCUCUGUGGUUCUGCCUCCUCCACACACAAGGAGCUGGGCACCCUGGGUCUGCUGCCUUUCCCCAAGAAGGAUGAAGGACCUGAAGUUCAGCAACCUUUUGGCUUAUGCCUAUAAGUUCUUUCAGCAAUGCCUCCUGGUUUGAUAACUGCAAGUGGAGAAUGAAGACAAGAAGCACGGCAUCAAAGCAAACCUCCUGUUAGACAGGGCUGUAUUUGCACCUGGGAGGCUGGAGAAGAACCUGUGUACUAAGGAGCUAUUGCACACAGUUUCAGUCAUGGGUGGAGAGACUGGUUUUCUCUGUCGCCGAGGUUGACGGGUGCAAGUCUUUUCUUGAUGAAAAACAAGGCAUUGCUUUGAACAUAAUCUCUGUGGCGUUACCCUUUAUUUACAUACAGGUAUUUUGAGCCCCUGGGGUUCUUGUUCUCAUGGUUUUGUUCACAGCUCCCACAAGCAAGGAUUGUCUCAGUAUGAAAAGAAAAGAGAACUCAGUAAUUUUAUUGCAAUUGCAAGAGCCCUACAAAAAAAACCCAACCCACAACAUAUAAGACACAUGAUUAAAACCACAGAGACUGGCAACAUGGUGCUGGCAAAGCUGCUUCUCUGGAAAUCCCAUGAACUUCCCACUCCGGGCUCCUAGGCAGACCCCUUCCUGGAUUCCGCUCUUUGCUGUUGAUUCAUUUCACCUUGCUCAGAAGAAACAUGCUAUUGAUAGCACUACUUUUAGAUGUUAGAUCAGCAGCAGAAGUAGCCACGCUAGCCCAGUCCCAGCAGACCCUUCCCUGUCCUACCUCCUGCUCUGCAGUGGGAUGCUGCUCUCACUGAUUUGCAGGGGCACUGCAGACACCAUGGUAAAUCUGGAGCAAUGUGGCAGAGGCCAAACAUCUCCUCAUAAGGCAGGAAAUUGCUGGUGUUCUGCUGCCAGGAACAGGAGAAGGAAGUAGGCUGAUCUUUACCCUUUGGAGCAGAGGGAGGGACAGAGGGAGCCAGGGGACCAUCCCCUGUUCCAGGAAAUGCCUAGAAGGACAGCCCCAGGAAGGUAUGUUGCCUAGCGAAUGGUGGCGAGAUCAGGUCCUAACAGAGGCCCAUGCUGAUCCCAUGAGGUGUGUGAGACAGCGAAAAAAGCAAGCCCAGGGUGCAGCUGCAGCCUGGGCGAUGGGUCCCAGUGCUGGCAAGCUGAUGAAGGGAAGCCACAGAAAGGCAGGACCUGCCCUGCUGCACCCUCAGCACCGCAGAGCAGCUUCGCCCAACACCAGAGAGGCAAGCCGAUCCCUGGGGCAAGGGCCGAGCUGAGGAGGUAGCUGGCCCAGCACCCCUGCCAGCCAGUGGGGCUGUUUGUUAGAGGGUGAGUCUUCUCACGCUGUGCUCCUUGAUGUGGCUGCAAGGCUCUCCAGUUUCUUUGAGGGCCACCAGCUUCUCAGGGCAUCUGUUGCUGCCCUUUUUUGAGCUGCUCCAGACAGAGUGACCUGAGCCCAGCAGGAAUGAACUAGUUGCACAGCUCCUCAUAAAGGAGCAUAGCAUCAGCUUGCUUGUGUCCUCCUUGCUUCGGCCCAGGGGAGUGGCUCCAGGAUAGCGUUGUUCCUGGUAAAGAUGAUGGCAGGUAAGCAGAGGUUGCAUGGCCCAAGCUGUCCCUGCCGCUAUGGGAAGUUUCAUGAAUAGCCCAGGAUGGGUGGGCUCCUCAGGACAGUGCACCUAUUCUUGGUGUCUCACCUUACUCCUGUAGGCAUUUGCCAUAGUUUCUUUUCUAAUCUGCUCUUUCUGUGCAUUUUACUUAAGUAUUUAUGAUUUCUUGGAGGGGCUAUGUCCUAUAAUCUCUAUUGCCCUUGACAUCGGGUUUGCUGCUACACAGAAGCAUAUGGGGGUACUGCCUUAGAGCCAGCCACUUGUCCUUAUAGCAUGUGAAAAAUCACAACAGGUAGACCCUAAACAGUUAAACUUUAUUAAGUACCAAAAUCUAGUGAAAAUAAAAUAAUCCGAAUGGGAAAGGGGAAUCAA